GAUGAAGAACGUAGUGAAAUGCGAUAAGUAAUGUGAAUUGCAGAAUUCAGUGAAUCAUCGAAUCUUUGAACGCACAUUGCGCCCCUUGGUAUUCCGAGGGGCAUGCCUGUUCGAGCGUCAUUAUAACCCCUCAAGCUCAGCUUGGUGUUGGGGCCUGCUGCACUGGCAGCCCUUAAAAUCAGUGGCGGCGCCAUCUGGCUCUAAGCGUAGUAAUUCUUCUCGCUAUGGAGUCCUGGUGGAUGCUUGCCAUCAACCCCCAAUUUUUCUAUGGUUGACCUCGGAUCAGGUAGGGAUACCCGCUGAACUUAAGCAUAUCAAUAACGGAGGA
rnacentral:misc_RNA from 1 species